UACGUAGGGUGCAAGCGUUGUCCGGAAUCAUUGGGCGUAAGAGCGUGUAGGCGGCCCGGUAAGUCCGCUGUAAAAGUCAAAGGCUCAACCUUUGAAUGUCAGUGGAUACUGCCGGGCUAGAGUCCGGAAGAGGCGAGUGGAACUCCUGGUGUAGCGGUGGAAUGCGCAGAUAUCAGGAAGAACACCAACGGCGAAGGCAGCUCGCUAGGACGGUACUGACGCUGAGACGCGAAAGCGUGGGGAGCGAACAGG
rnacentral:rRNA from 1 species